AUUUCACUAUAAAUAGCCUAUAAACAUGGAUAUAAGUUAGUCUAAAACCUCCGACAACACGACACAACUAAAUCAACCUCCGAUUUGGAAGGAGCAAUCAAACCUUUCUCUAUAUCGUCAGGACCAACAUUGUAGGUAAUUGAUUAUUCCAAUCAAUUAUUAUUUGUACUUGUUGAACGAUAUAAAGAAACUGAUUAAUCCUGUUCCUAUAUUUAGUAUCAUAAACAUAUUAUCUUAUUUUCGUAUGUCAUUAUAUUCUUCAUAAACAGUCAUAUAGAAAAAUGGCACCAUCCUCUUCGAAACAAGACCCUCCAUUAAUCGCUAAAUUAGCUAGCGCUGGUCUAGCAGCAUGUGUGGCUGAUGGAAUGACGUUUCCUUUGGAUUUUGCUAAAGUUCAAUUACAGGUAUUUUAAGGUUUUAUGUGUGAAGUGUACCACCAAUUGAAUGCUUCUCGAAUGAUCUCUGUCUCACGCUUUUCAGUGUGUUCUAAACAUUUUACUUCAGGUUGAAAGACCUCGAAGAAGAAAGAAGGCCAAGGCCAUCUAUAGAAAAACAACUUGUUUAUGUCUUGUUUGUCGCACUUUUUCGAAGCAUUCAAUUACCUUUAUCAAUAAACAGCCCCUGUCUUGCAAUUUAUCAAGAACUAUUUGCCUAUUUGGAUGAAUAGUUUUAAAGCAAAUGAACCUAUGAGCUGUCACAGUUAAUUCUAUUGAAAAUAAUUUUAUUUUUCUCUAACGUUUUCAGAAAAAUAAGAAGGCCAAGAUGAAGAUUUGGGGAGGGAGGGCUGGGUUUUCAGGUGCUUGCUGACAGAGCGAAAUGGGAAUUAAAAGGUGUUUUCUUAAAAAAAAUCACAAACUAACAAUAGGCAAUCUGUAUUUUCAACUCAAUAUUUAUAAACAGAUGGAGUGAAUGUUUUAAUAGGACUUUUUGUAAUAGAUUGUAAUAGAUUGCUGUUCCUUUUCAAGCAGUAGCAAAAAAAAUGAUAAAAUAUUUGAACUCUUUGAAAGGAUUGAUAGGUGUUUAUUUGACCACGCUAUAUGUAAAAUCAUCUUAUACUAUAUAUUAUCAGAUUGACAGAAAAAUAGAAACGAUAAGAAAAGGAAUUGUUAUCGUGACUAUAAAAUGUAAUUUCGCUUAUCAGUAUAUUUUUUUUACUUAACUAAAAGAUAUACAAAGAUGAGAAGAAGAGAAAAACAAGAAUAUUUAUCAAUAUAUACUGUAUAUUCAAUAACAGGCAUACAGUUACAUUCAAUGAAAAAACUAUUGUGUUUGUUUUUAAGCACUAAAAGCAAGUCGGUCAGGUGUUUCUUAUCCUUUUGCCCUUUCUUGCUCCAUAAUCUUAAUAUAAAACCUUAAUUACUUACGAUUAUGAAAUUUAAGACUUUUACUAUUUGUCCGAACAGAAAACUGUGUUCCUUCCAGCAAUUAAUCUAUUUAUAAUUAAUUAGAACUUUGAAGAUUUUUAUAAGCCUUAUUGCUCAACCAUAUAAAAACAAUCACACCAUCUGUUUCUUUUUAUGAAUAUCACAGAAUUGCCUGAUUUCAUUUUAAAUAUUUCACUAAUUAAAGGCGAUUGUCUCGGAUAGAUGAUCGUUUUAUAUAAGAUGUAAAAAGCUAACCAUCCUGCUAUAUGUCGGAUCUUAGAUCCAAGGUGAAAAGAGUGCUACAAAACUAUACUCUGGGAUGUUCGACUGUCUGACCAAAAUAUUUCGAAGCGGAGGUGUCCGUGCCAUCUACAAGGGGUUGGUACCUGGUUUACAAAGACAAAUGUGCUUCGCAUCCGUCCGAAUCGGCCUCUACGAUCAGGUGAAGGGCAGCUAUACGAAAUUUUUUAUGGGAAAGCAAAAUCCUUCAGGAGAAAAUUUUGGCAUACGGAUAUUAGCAGGAAUUACAACAGGAGGAAUGGCUGUGUUAUUCGCUCAACCAACUGACGUAGUUAAAGUUCGAAUGCAGGCGCAAAAGGAAGGAUUUGUUAGAUAUAAAGGAUGUGUCGAAGCUUAUGUUAAAAUUGCUAGAACAGAAGGUAUAAGAGGGUUAUGGAAGGGUACCCUACCAAAUAUGACACGGAAUGCUGUUGUUAACGCUAGUGAAUUAGUCACUUAUGAUUAUAUUAAAACUUCCAUUCUCAAACAUCAAAUUCUCAAGGACGGUGUUCCUUGUCACUUUUUAUCAGCGUUUGGAGCUGGAUUUAUCACAACAAUAUUCGCAAGUCCAAUAGAUGUUGUUAAAACAAGAUUUAUGAAUUCGCCUCCAGGAGAAUAUAAAGGUGUUGUUAACUGUGCUACCUCAAUGUUUCGCAAUGAAGGGUUUUUUGCCUUUUACAAAGGCUUUUGGCCGUCUUUCACAAGACUUGGAUCUUGGAAUAUAGUAAUGUUCGUAACAUAUGAACAAUUUAAGAAGUUGUUUAUAAUCAGAAAAAGCUCUAAAGACCCUAAAGAAAUUCAAUGAAUUUUAAUAACAUUAUGAUUUGUAACUGAAACUUGAAUUUAACUAUGUGUGAAUUAUCCAAGCUGUGAAAGUUAAUUACGGUGUUGAAUUUUCUUCCACUUCCGUGUGUGAAUAGUGUUGAAAUUACAGUAUUCAUAGUCUUCUUCCUUUUCAAAACACAUUGCAUUUACAUACGUGAAUAUUCGUUAUUUCUUUCUCGCAUAUAUUAUGUAUAUAUAUUUUGUAAAUGAAUUAUUUUAAAUAAAAACAAAUUGAUAACAUCUACCACCAUUAGUUAGUGUUAUUUUCAAUUAAUUAUCUUUCACUUUUGGUAUAGAUAUAUACAUGUAAACGGUAUUACAAUGUUGUUUAAAAGUUAUGUUUCACAUAAAAACAUAAAAAUUUCCAACACGGAAAACCAUUCUUAAAAUGAAUGGAUUAUCUGAGUCAUCUGUGUUUUCAAAACUUUACUCAAAUGAUAAUGAGUUUAUCUCACAAUGAAAUAC
rnacentral:misc_RNA from 1 species